rnacentral:lncRNA from 1 species
UUCUUCUUCUUCUUGUCCUUCUGCUUCCUUUUUCUCUUCCCUGUCCGACCUUUUGUUCUUCUUGAAAGGGAGCGAGCGCAGAGGGCGUGCCCAAGAGGCUGACGUACGACGAGAUCCAGAGCAAGACGUACAUGGAGGUGAAGGGCACGGGCACGGCCAACCAGUGCCCAACCAUCGACGGCGGCGUCGACUCCUUCGCCUUCAAGCCCGGAAAGUACAACGCCAAGAAGUUCUGCCUGGAGCCCACCUCCUUCACCGUCAAAGCCGAGGGGGUGAGCAAGAACGC